UACGUAGGUGGCAAGCGUUGUCCGGAUUUAUUGGGCGUAAAGAGCGUGUAGGCGGCCUUGCAAGUCCGUUGUGAAAACUCGAGGCUCAACCUCGAGACGCCGGUGGAAACUGGCAAAGCUAGAGUCCGGAAGAGGAGAGUGGAAUUCCUGGUGUAGCGGUGAAAUGCGCAGAUAUCAGGAGGAACACCCGUGGCGAAAGCGGCUCUCUGGGACGGUACUGACGCUGAGACGCGAAAGCGUGGGGAGCAAACAGG
rnacentral:rRNA from 1 species